GUGGGGAAUUUUGGACAAUGGGCGAAAGCCUGAUCCAGCCAUUCCGCGUGCAGGAUGAAGGCCCUCGGGUUGUAAACUGCUUUUGUACAGAACGAAAAAGCUCCGGCUAAUACCUGGAGUCCAUGACGGUACUGUAAGAAUAAGCACCGGCUAACUACGUGCCAGCAGCCGCGGUAAUACGUAGGGUGCAAGCGUUAAUCGGAAUUACUGGGCGUAAAGCGUGCGCAGGCGGUUUUGUAAGACAGAGGUGAAAUCCCCGGGCUCAACCUGGGAACUGCCUUUGUGACUGCAAGGCUGGAGUGCGGCAGAGGGGGAUGGAAUUCCGCGUGUAGCAGUGAAAUGCGUAGAUAUGCGGAGGAACACCGAUGGCGAAGGCAAUCCCCUGGGCCUGCACUGACGCUCAUGCACGAAAGCGUGGGGAGCGAACAGGAUUAGAUACCCCUGUAGUCC
rnacentral:rRNA from 1 species